AUGGCUGCUCCGGCUCUCAAGUUCGCCGCCGUCAUGCUCCUGGCCGCCCUCUGCGCGGCGGCGCUCGCCCCGGCCACGUCGGGACAGCCGACGGACGCGCUAGCAACGUGCAUCGGGCGCUGCGGCAAGGGUUCGUCUGUCAUUGGAAGUGCCAUUGGGGAAGCUGAACAUGUCGCAGAGGUGGAGCGCGAGGUGGAGGCCGGGCGCGUGGCGCGCGAGGUGGAGCGCGAGCGUGAGGCGUGGGCGGCUGGCCCGGGGUGGCUUCUGCGCGACGAGCAGGCGCGGUCGGCCACUGGAUCUGGGGCGGCUCUGCCCGGAUCUGGUGGCGUGUCUGCGGCGGUUCCGAAUCCAUGGGAGGUUGCUGCUGCUUCGACUGGGGGUGGUUCCUCCUCGUCGGUGCCGCGCCAGGCUCCGGCCCGGGGCCCGGUGGUUCCGACGCGGCAGCCUCCUCGUUCCUUGGCUGCUGGUGCCGCUUCUCGCCCUUCCCAGCGUUUCGGCUAUGGCUCCUCCUCUGCGCAGAUUAGGGAUCGCCGUGGCCCGCCCUCUGGUCCAGGAUCUACCUCCGCCUGCCUUGGGGAUGGCCUUCUCCCUCCUCCGCCGCCCCCUCCCCGCCAUCACUCAGCUGCUCCAAACACCUCUCCUUCCCUUACAUGCUUCGCAUGCCAUCGACCGGGCCAUUUCCAAUCCAGAUGCGCCAACCCUCCCUUUUGUCUGAUAUGCCAUUCUGAUGGACACCUGACUGUUGAUUGUCGCAACCGCAUCAAGACUCCCUCCUUCGUGCAUUUUGGGACUGGUCUUCCAGGGUGUUCUUUCUUUGCCCUUGACUGUGAUGUGCCUGUGGUGGUGGCCGCUCCGUCGCUCCCUAAUGCGGCUAUCAUCUCCGUUCACGAUCAAAAGAUCUCUCCGCGGACCUUGUUGGAUGGUUUGAGGAUCUGGGAUGAAGGGGGUUGGGACUGGCAAAUGCGCCAGCUUUCGGAGUCUGAGUUUGCGGUGGUGUUCCCCUCAAAGGAGUGUCUACGGAUGAUUUCGUCGUGCACGAGCUUCGCUCUGCCUCUCAACCAGUUGGUUGUUUCUGUUAAGGCGGCCACUUGUGGUGCGAAGGCUGUUGGUCCUCUGUCCAAGACUUGGGUGCUAGUAGAUGAUGUGCUAGUGGGUUUGCGGUCGGCUGAGUUCAUGAUGGCGUUUGGGACUCUCAUUGGCAAACCCGUGGAGGUUGAUUCUGAAUCUUUGGGUAAAGUUGGCCCGGUGCGUCUCAGUAUUUGGUGUGUGGAUCCUGUUUGCGUGCGUGGUUCUGUGGAUGUGUGCCCGUCUUCUAAGGGUGUUCGACUGCGGGUUCGGGUCGAAGGUGCUGAUGCCUUCCAGGCCCCACCUCCGCCGCCUCCUUCCAAUUCAGUUGAUCCCGAUGAUGAUAAGGAGGGACAUGGAUCGGCUGGUGGGCAGAACCCAAGUGGUGGUACUGACCCACGUUUCACCCAGUCUGAGUGGGAUGGUCUGGACCCUGAGGUGAAGGAACUAUUUGAAGACAAUGCCCCGGUUGAUAAAGCUCAGAAGGAUGCGGGUGCCAAUCAGGUGAUGGAUGAAGCCCGUCUUGGGAACCCUGCUAGCAAGGGCACCCCGAUUUCUGCUGUCUGUUCCAAUCUUCCUGCUCGCCCGUAG
rnacentral:rRNA from 1 species